rnacentral:rRNA from 1 species
CAUGCAAGUCGAGCGCACUGGCCCAACUGAUAUGACGUGCUUGCACUGAUUUGACGAUGGAUCACCAGUGAGCGGCGGACGGGUGAGUAACACGUGGGCAACCUGCCCUAAAGUGGGGGAUAACAUUUGGAAACAGGUGCUAAUACCGCAUAACUACGAAAACCACAUGGUUUUCGUAUCAAAGAUGGUUUCGGCUAUCACUUUAGGAUGGACCCGCGGUGCAUUAGCUAGUUGGUAGGGUAACGGCCUACCAAGGCAAUGAUGCAUAGCCGAGUUGAGAGACUGAUCGGCCACAAUGGAACUGAGACACGGCCCAGACUCCUACGGGAGGCAGCAGUGGGGAAUAUUGGACAAUGGGGGCAACCCUGAUCCAGCAAUGCCGCGUGUGUGAAGAAGGUUUUCGGAUUGUAAAGCACUUUCGGCGGGGACGAUGAUGACGGUACCCGCAGAAGAAGCCCCGGCUAACUUC